rnacentral:rRNA from 1 species
UGAAGCCCAGCUUGCUGGGUGGAUUAGUGGCGAACGGGUGAGUAACACGUGAGUAACCUGCCCUUAACUCUGGGAUAAGCCUGGGAAACUAGGUCUAAUACCGGAUAGGAGCGCCUACCGCAUGGUGGGUGUUGGAAAGAUUUAUCGGUUUUGGAUGGACUCGCGGCCUAUCAGCUUGUUGGUGAGGUAAUGGCUCACCAAGGCGACGACGGGUAGCCGGCCUGAGAGGGUGACCGGCCACACUGGGACUGAGACACGGCCCAGACUCCUACGGGAGGCAGCAGUGGGGAAUAUUGCACAAUGGGCGAAAGCCUGAUGCAGCGACGCCGCGUGAGGGAUGACGGCCUUCGGGUUGUAAACCUCUUUCAGUAGGGAAGAAGCGAAAGUGACGGUACCUGCAGAAGAAGCACCGGCUAACUACGUGCCAGCAGCCGCGGUAAUACGUAGGGUGCGAGCGUUAUCCGGAAUUACUGGGCGUAAAGAGCUCGUAGGCGGUUUGUCGCGUCUGUCGUGAAAGUCCGGGGCUUAACCCCGGAUCUGCGGUGGGUACGGGCAGACUAGAGUGCAGUAGGGGAGACUGGAAUUCCUGGUGUAGCGGUGGAAUGCGCAGAUAUCAGGAGGAACACCGAUGGCGAAGGCAGGUCUCUGGGCUGUAACUGACGCUGAGGAGCGAAAGCAUGGGGAGCGAACAGGA